CGACGCGAAGCGCGACCCUCCGGGCGCGGGGGCACCGGCGGCGUUACUACCUGGAGGGCUCCGCGGCGCUUGUUAGGCUUCUCCCGGGCACGCGGGGAUUUCUGUCUUCGGAGCGCGGGGCUUGUCUUUCCCGGCCCCCCUGCUCUGCCCUCCCUCCCCUGCUUGGCCGCUGGGCUCCUUCUCUCCACUCCCAGCUGCACGGAGUCGAGCUGCGUUAUUUAAUAAUCCUGCUCCUCCUGCCUGCGCCAGCAGAGCUGCUCUGCCUGAGCCACCGCUUCCCAGGCAGGCAUGUUGUGGAGACAGGGAGAGGGCGAGACGCGGACUGGCCGUCGGUCGGCGACCGUUCGUGCAGAAAUUCUGCCUGGUGACAGAACAGCAGGAUCCAUCGUUGCCCUUGCUCUGUGGAGGAAACUAAAAGGGCAAGCAGGUCAACUGCCCAGGAUUUCAGAGGGGAAUCCUCUCCAGAAGCUAAGCCCAGAUGACUGGGUCAAAAUACUCGCUGCAUGAGCUGUCUUUGAUCUGGGAGCUACGCAGACACCAAGGAUUCGUCCCAAGGAGCAGAUGUGGUAGCAAGACUAUUAAGGGACUGUUGCUUUGCUCAUAGAAGCUAAUCACCUGCUGUACAGAAGCCAUGCAAACUAUGGAAGGGCCCACAUGGAGAGGAACUGAUGCCUUUAUCCCACAGCACCAUCUGACAGACGCCACAUAAAACCAGCACCAAUUUGCCAGCCAUUUCUGAGGCUGGAAGUCCGAGAUCAGGGUGCCCGCAUGGUCAAGUUCUGGUGAGAGCUCUCUUCCUGGCUAGCAGAAUGCUGUCUUCUCCCUGUGUCCUCACAAGGCUCUCCCCAUGUUCACUGGAACGGACCUAGAUACUCUACAGCAAAACCAUUUAGUAGAGGAGAAAACAUACAGCAUCAUGAGAAUGGAGUGGGAAGGGGUAAAAACGACUAGGAAUGUUACCUGGGAUCCUAACGAAUCCUCGCAUUCCGUUUAAAGAAA